rnacentral:rRNA from 1 species
GAUGAACGCUAGCGGGAGGCCUAACACAUGCAAGCCGAGCGGUAUUGUUUCUUCGGAAAUGAGAGAGCGGCGUACGGGUGCGGAACACGUGUGCAACCUGCCUUUAUCUGGGGGAUAGCCUUUCGAAAGGAAGAUUAAUACUCCAUAAUAUAUUGAACGGCAUCGUUUAAUAUUGAAAGCUCCGGCGGAUAGAGAUGGGCACGCGCAAGAUUAGCUAGUUGGUGAGGUAACGGCUCACCAAGGCGAUGAUCUUUAGGGGGCCUGAGAGGGUGAUCCCCCACACUGGUACUGAGACACGGACCAGACUCCUACGGGAGGCAGCAGUGAGGAAUAUUGGUCAAUGGGUGCAAGCCUGAACCAGCCAUCCCGCGUGAAGGACGACUGCCCUAUGGGUUGUAAACUUCUUUUGUAUAGGGAUAAACCUACCCUCGUGAGGGUAGCUGAAGGUACUAUACGAAUAAGCACCGGUUAACUCCGUGCCAGCAGCCGCGGUAAUUACGGAGGGUGCAAGCGUUAUCCGGAUUUAUUGGGUUUAAAGGGUCCGUAGGCGGACUUAUAAGUCAGUGGUGAAAGCCUGUCGCUGGUCGAUAGAACUGCCAUUGAUACUGUAAGUCUUGAGUAUAUUUGAGGUAGCUGGAAUAAGUAGUGUAGCGGUGAAAUGCAUAGAUAUUACUUAGAACACCAAUUGCGAAGGCAGGUUACCAAGAUAUAACUGACGCUGAGGGACGAAAGCGUGGGGAGCGAACAGGAUUAGAUACCCUGGUAGUCCACGCCGUAAACGAUGCUAACUCGUUUUUGGGCUUUAGGGUUCAGAGACCAAGCGAAAGUGAUAAGUUAGCCACCUGGGGAGUACGCUCGCAAGAGUGAAACUCAAAGGAAUUGACGGGGGCCCGCACAAGCGGUGGAUUAUGUGGUUUAAUUCGAUGAUACGCGAGGAACCUUACCAAGACUUAAAUGGGAAUUGACAGCUUUAGAAAUAGAGCUUUCUUCGGACAAUUUUCAAGGUGCUGCAUGGUUGUCGUCAGCUCGUGCCGUGAGGUGUUAGGUUAAGUCCUGCAACGAGCGCAACCCCUGUCACUAGUUGCCAUCAUUCAGUUGGGGACUCUAGUGAGACUGCCUACGCAAGUAGAGAGGAAGGUGGGGAUGACGUCAAAUCAUCACGGCCCUUACGUCUUGGGCCACACACGUAAUACAAUGGCCGGUACAGAGGGCAGCUACACAGCGAUGUGAUGCAAAUCUCGAAAGCCGGUCUCAGUUCGGAUUGGAGUCUGCAACUCGACUCUAUGAAGCUGGAAUCGCUAGUAAUCGCGCAUCAGCCAUGGCGCGGUGAAUACGUUCCCGGGCCU